rnacentral:rRNA from 1 species
AGAGUUUGAUCCUGGCUCAGGAUAAACGCUGGCGGCGUGCCUAACACAUGCAAGUCGAACGCCCUCUCGCAAGAGAGGGAGUGGCGGACGGGUGAGUAACACAUGGGUACCUGCCCCGAGGUGAGGAAUACCGGCGAGAAAUCGCCGACAAUACCGCAUACGUUUCGCAAGAAACAAAGCUCGCAAGGGCGCCUUGGGAUGGGCCUGUGGCCGAUUAGCUUGUUGGUGAGGUAAGAGCUCACCAAGGCCACGAUCGGUAGCUGGUCUGAGAGGAUGGUCAGCCACACUGGGAUUGAGAACGGCCCAGACUCCUACGGGGGGCAGCAGUGAGGAAUUUUCGUCAAUGGGGGCAACCCUGAACGAGCAACGCCGCGUGCAGGAGGACGCUUUUCGGAGUGUAAACUGCUUUUCUUGGGGACGAGCAAGGACGGUACCCAAGGAAUAAGCCCCGGCUAACUACGUGCCAGCAGCCGCGGUAAU